AAGCGUGGCGGGUGCCUAUACAUGCAGUCGAGCGAAUGGAUUAAGAGCUUGCUCUUAUGAAGUUAGCGGCGGACGGGUGAGUAACACGUGGGUAACCUGCCCAUAAGACUGGGAUAACUCCGGGAAACCGGGGCUAAUACCGGAUAACAUUUUGAACCGCAUGGUUCGAAAUUGAAAGGCGGCUUCGGCUGUCACUUAUGGAUGGACCCGCGUCGCAUUAGCUAGUUGGUGAGGUAACGGCUCACCAAGGCAACGAUGCGUAGCCGACCUGAGAGGGUGAUCGGCCACACUGGGACUGAGACACGGCCCAGACUCCUACGGGAGGCAGCAGUAGGGAAUCUUCCGCAAUGGACGAAAGUCUGACGGAGCAACGCCGCGUGAGUGAUGAAGGCUUUCGGGUCGUAAAACUCUGUUGUUAGGGAAGAACAAGUGCUAGUUGAAUAAGCUGGCACCUUGACGGUACCUAACCAGAAAGCCACGGCUAACUACGUGCCAGCAGCCGCGGUAAUACGUAGGUGGCAAGCGUUAUCCGGAAUUAUUGGGCGUAAAGCGCGCGCAGGUGGUUUCUUAAGUCUGAUGUGAAAGCCCACGGCUCAACCGUGGAGGGUCAUUGGAAACUGGGAGACUUGAGUGCAGAAGAGGAAAGUGGAAUUCCAUGUGUAGCGGUGAAAUGCGUAGAGAUAUGGAGGAACACCAGUGGCGAAGGCGACUUUCUGGUCUGUAACUGACACUGAGGCGCGAAAGCGUGGGGAGCAACAGGAUUAGAUACCCUGGUAGUCCACGCCGUAAACGAUGAGUGC
rnacentral:rRNA from 1 species